GACGUAGGGCGCGAGCGUUGUCCGGAUUUAUUGGGCGUAAAGAGCUCGUAGGCGGCUUGUCGCGUCGUCCGUGAAAACCCGGGGCUCAACCCCGGGCUUGCGGUCGAUACGGUCAGGCUCGAGUUCGGUAGGGGAGACUGGAAUUUACGGUGUAGCAGUGAAAUGCGUAGAUAUCGUAAGGAAGACCAGUGGCGAAGGCGGGUCUCUGGACAGUUCCUGACACCGAGACACGAAGGCCAGGGGAGCAAACGGG
rnacentral:rRNA from 1 species